CCUACGGGCGGCAGCAGUGGGGAAUAUUGGGCAAUGGGCGCAAGCCUGACCCAGCAACGCCGCGUGAAGGAAGAAGGCUUUCGGGUUGUAAACUUCUUUUAAGGGGGAAGAGCAGAAGACGGUACCCCUUGAAUAAGCCACGGCUAACUACGUGCCAGCAGCCGCGGUAAUACGUAGGUGGCAAGCGUUGUCCGGAUUUACUGGGUGUAAAGGGCGUGCAGCCGGAGAGACAAGUCAGAUGUGAAAUCCACGGGCUCAACCCGUGAACUGCAUUUGAAACUGUUUCCCUUGAGUGUCGGAGAGGUAAGCGGAAUUCGUGGUGUAGCGGUGAAAUGCGUAGAUAGAAGGAAGAACACCAGUGGCGAAGGCGGAUUACUGGACGAUAACUGACGGUGAGGCGCGAAAGCGUGGGGAGCAAACAGGAUUAGAUACCCUAGUAGUC
rnacentral:rRNA from 1 species